rnacentral:tRNA from 1 species
GCUUUCGUGGUGUAAAGGUAACACACUCGGGGAGUAUUCGAGAUGUCCAGGUUCGAGUCCCGGUGAGGGCA